rnacentral:lncRNA from 10 species
GGGCAAAUUCAGAAUCCAAGCCAGUUAGUUCAUCAGGGAAGGCUGCUAGGAGUGGGGGAGUUAGAGAGGUGUGCAAAGAGAAACCCAACAGGGCAUGCAAUAGAUUAGGAGAAGAGCAGGAGUACCUCUGGCUGAUGGUGCUGAGGCAGAAACGGCAGGAGUUGGCAUCAGAAUGCAGCAACUUGAUUCCUGGCUACUUACCAGUUCCGUGACCUGAGGGUCCAGCACAUGGUAUGUGCACAGACAUGUUGUUUGAAUGAAUGAAGAUUUUCCCACCUGGGUCUGCUGCCUCCUUCAUGUUUUACCACCUGGUGUCACUUCAGAUUCUGAAACUAUCUGUGGCUCAUCUACUUAGGGAGGACACUGAUGUGGACAUUGCAGAAUAUCAGCUCCAGUUUGAUAAGGUGGUGCACAAUGAUGAGAGAGAGGACUUUGAGGGUUUUCUUCCUAGGUGCUCAAGUAGCUAAAAAAUAAAUAAAUAAAAAAAUAGAAUACAAUAAAAAACAAGCAGUGGUGGGAAUUACAGAUUAGCUAUAGAAGGAAAGAUUACCAAAUUCCGUUGGGGUGUGGCUGCUAGUGGUCUUUAAAACACUGAAGGCAGGCUUGUCUCAGGUCCCAAGUAUAUUGCAAAUGAGCCAGCACUAAAUAAACCUUGAAACCUGAUGGCUCCAUUCUCUCUCUUGGAAUCUAUCAAUUUUAUAUACAUGAUAAGCAUAUUUAUUGAUUGAUAAAGGCUUAGCAGAGAAGCCUGAAAUAGGACUGGCUUCCUUGGCCUCCAAGAGGCAGUUUCCUUCUAUCACAAAACAUGUUUAAAGCUCUUUAAUUUUGAAGGUCCUUGGAGUCUUAAAUUGUUCCCCACCUCCCACACACAUACACUUUCGGCAAUACCCCCAAUACCAGAAACCCAGACAAUACCUAUCCAUGUAUGACACCUGAGUUAUUGACUAUAUGUGGCAAUUGUUUAAUUCUAGGUUCACUUUCUCUUGCCGUCCAGUGCUCUUGGAAAACAUCUCUAUUAUCAGUUAACAUGUGAGUCUCCAGAAGGCAGACUCAUUUCAAUCUUAGUUUAAGCAAAAUCAUGUGGAAAAUCCAAUUUCCUUUAAAAAGUAUAUUCCAAG